rnacentral:rRNA from 1 species
AAACGAGUUAUCUGAACCUUCGGGGAACGAUAACGGCGUCGAGCGGCGGACGGGUGAGUAAUGCCUAGGAAAUUGCCUUGAUGUGGGGGAUAACCAUUGGAAACGAUGGCUAAUACCGCAUAAUGCCUACGGGCCAAAGAGGGGGACCUUCGGGCCUCUCGCGUCAAGAUAUGCCUAGGUGGGAUUAGCUAGUUGGUGAGGUAAUGGCUCACCAAGGCGACGAUCCCUAGCUGGUCUGAGAGGAUGAUCAGCCACACUGGAACUGAGACACGGUCCAGACUCCUACGGGAGGCAGCAGUGGGGAAUAUUGCACAAUGGGCGAAAGCCUGAUGCAGCCAUGCCGCGUGUAUGAAGAAGGCCUUCGGGUUGUAAAGUACUUUCAGUUGUGAGGAAGGGGGUGUCGUUAAUAGCGGCAUCUCUUGACGUUAGCAACAGAAGAAGCACCGGCUAACUCCGUGCCAGCAGCCGCGGUAAUACGGAGGGUGCGAGCGUUAAUCGGAAUUACUGGGCGUAAAGCGCAUGCAGGUGGUUCAUUAAGUCAGAUGUGAAAGCCCGGGGCUCAACCUCGGA